AGUAAACAGUCAACCGCUGCUGGGUGAGGAAGGUGCUCACACCUGGCACCUGACUCAAUAGUGGCCGGUACACUUCCCUACU